rnacentral:rRNA from 1 species
UCAUUAGUGAAUAUAGGACGUCCAACUUAACUUGGAGUCCGAACUCUCACUUUCUAACCCUGUGCACUUGUUUGGGAUAGUAACUCUCGCAAGAGAGCGAACUCCUAUUCACUUAUAAACACAAAGUCUAUGAAUGUAUUAAAUUUUAUAACAAAAUAAAACUUUCAACAACGGAUCUCUUGGCUCUCGCAUCGAUGAAGAACGCAGCGAAAUGCGAUAAGUAAUGUGAAUUGCAGAAUUCAGUGAAUCAUCGAAUCUUUGAACGCACCUUGCGCUCCAUGGUAUUCCGUGGAGCAUGCCUGUUUGAGUGUCAUGAAUACUUCAACCCUCCUCUUUCUUAAUGAUUGAAGAGGUGUUUGGUUUCUGAGCGCUGCUGGCCUUUACGGUCUAGCUCGUUCGUAAUGCAUUAGCAUCCGCAAUCGAACUUCGGAUUGACUUGGCGUAAUAGACUAUUCGCUGAGGAAUUCUAGUCUUCGGACUAGAGCCGGGUUGGGUUAAAGGAAGCUUCUAAUCAGAAUGUCUACAUUUUAAGAUUAGAUCUCAAAUCAGGUAGGACUACCCGCUGAACUUAAGCAUAUCAAUAAGCGGAGGA